AGUGAACGCUGGCGGUAGGCUUAACACAUGCAAGUCGAACGGCAGCACAGUAAGAGCUUGCUCUUACGGGUGGCGGGUGGCGGAAGGGUGCGGAAUACAUCGGAAUCUACUUUUUAGUGGGGGGUAAGGUAGGGAAACUUACGCUAAUACCGCAUACGAACUACGGGGGAAAGCAGGGGAACUUUUGACCUUGCGCGAUUGAAUGAGCCGAUGUCGGAUUAGCUAGUUGGCGGGGUAAAGGCCCACCAAGGCGACGAUCCGUAGCUGGUCUGAGAGGAUGAUCAGCCACACUGGAACUGAGACACGGUCCAGACUCCUACGGGAGGCAGCAGUGGGGAAUAUUGGACAAUGGGCGCAAGCCUGAUCCAGCCAUACCGCGUGGGUGAAGAAGGCCUUCGGGUUGUAAAGCCCUUUUGUUGGGAAAGAAAAGCAGCAGGUUAAUACCCGGCUGUUCUGACGGUACCCAAAGAAUAAGCACCGGCUAACUUCGUG
rnacentral:rRNA from 1 species